CCCUUAGAUGUUCUGGGCCGCACGCGUGCUACACUGAGUGGAUCAGCGGGUCAGGUUGCGCGAAAGCGUUUCCUAAUCUUUAAAUCCGCUCGUGAUGGGGAUUGACGGUUGCAAUUUUCUGUCAUGAACGAGGAAUACCUUGUAAGCGCGGGUCAUCAUCCCGCGCUGAAUACGUCCCUGCCCUUUGUACACACCGCCCGUCGCUCCUACCGGUUGAGUGGUCCGGUGAGGCUUUGGGAUCUGAGCGGAAAGAGCGUUUCGCUGUUUCUACUCGGAAAACUCAGUCGAACCUUAUCAUUUAGAGGAAGGAGAAGUCGUAACA
rnacentral:rRNA from 1 species